rnacentral:misc_RNA from 1 species
AACGCUGCGACGGCAACGACAUGCCUUCGCGAGUCCGCGCUAGCUUUUCUGGAUGCUCCUAGGACCAGGGGACUCGUCAAGCGUUGUGGCACGCCUGACUGGGCGACGGGCUUGGGUGGCUGCUUCGGGCGGAGCGAUAGGACUUUUGAGGAGGGCUGCUACGCACCUGUGCAGCUCAGUCUUGGACGAGAGAACGGGAAAACGCGCAAACGGAGAGAAGAGGAAGAGGAAGAGGAGGUGUUUUCACUUCGCAGGGGCACCCCAGAGGGCUAUGCACAAGCCAGGCAUAAGAAGAGAGCCUAUGUUAGCCCCGGA